rnacentral:lncRNA from 1 species
UUUUGGAAAAACAAAAUGGCACACCUGGUGGGACCUGAUUCUCCUCCCAUCUUUGCUGCACUCCAAUGGUCGUCAAAUUUUCCAAUUAUUUGUUUGCUUGUCCAAAUCACCACAAGAGGAUGUUGUAAAAAAAUAGCACGCAUCUAGUGCGUGAAAAUAUAUAUGCACAUGUACAUCCGUGCGUUCAAGCUGAAAAUGCACGGAGCACACAUGGUGCCUCUGUUCCAAAUUAUUUUGCACAGGAAGAUUGUCCCUGUUUAAAAAGAAAUAGGCAGCACUGGUUGAGGUUGUGUAUCAACCAGAGUAGUGGACCACAUGUACUGAUUGGAUAAUCUAUAUAGACCAUCGUAAUCCUCAUCAAUCACUGUCAAAGAUCAUAUCAUCAUCUAGGCAAUUUUGUUAAAUAUACAACAUUGUUUGCAGCAGUAUAUUAGGAGAAGCAGAACUUCGUCAUCCUUGAUGUAUCAUCAAUCACUGUCAAAGAUAUCGUCAUCUCAGCAAAAAAAUUAAAUAUACAACAUUGUUUCCUGCAGUAUAUUAGGAAAAGCAGAACUUCGUAAUCCUUGAUGUAUCAUCAAUCACUGUCAAAGAUCAUAUCAUCAUCUAGGCAAUUUUGUUAAAUAUAGAACAUUGUUUGCUGCAGUAUAUUAGCAGAAGCAGAACUUAUUGCAAGGAACAUGUUGAUAGCACCAUAUCAAAUUGUAUUCAGUUUGCUGCAUACCAUAGUGAUGUGGAUACUUAUGAAAUAUGUGUAGCUAGAAAUUAGAAACUCUGUGAACCUAAACUGUUGUGGCACAAGUGACUAUUAUAUGGAUGGUUCUGGUUUUAUUAAGAUAGGAAGAUGGAAUAUGUUUUCUUCCAAACAUACAUGAACACCAUGGCCAUGAUAGAAACAGAACAUUCAUGCUGUAGAAACGGCAAUAGAAAUCCCACCUCCAAUAGGAAAAUUAACUCUGAAAUUACUACUUGAAAUGAGCCAUGGGUGGCAGCUGUAGGAUUCCAACUUACAGGUAGCCUCAUGAUAUUUACCUGGGGCUGGGAAAAGGCCUACUGGUACCAACAAUAUUAUUCAACAUGCAAAGAAAACAGCUAGGUACACUAAACUAUGAAUGGAGAUAACACAUUAAAUUGUUCAUACCCCAAAAAACCAUUAACUCGCAGGUCAUGGUGGGUCUUUCCUACUUCACCUGAACCCUGUCACGAGUUAUCCUCUCAACCUGCUAGAAAUACCACAACCUCUUUCAAGUUUCAUCAAUCCUACACAAUCCACCAUAAAGAUGUUCAUUAUAAGAAAUACAGCCUAUAUUUAUAAUAGAGAAUACUGAAGCAUUGCAUGUAUACUCAGCCGCUAACCUCUUAUGGCCAUUUUCUCAAACAUCUGAUGAGCCACUUAAUAAAAGAAAUCAAUCCUGAUGGUCACAAAAUCAUCACAUACAUGCAGCACACAGAAUGAUGUUUUCAAUCUUCUGCUGCUUCUUUUGUACUUACACAAGCCUAGGAACAAAAUCAACACAUUAGUAUGAUCUAUCCAACAUCAGUCAUUGGAGCAGAGACAACCAAAAUUGGCUAACAAGUUGUAAACUAACUUUGGAAAUCUCAUGCUGCAUAAACAUAUCAAGCAAUUCCUCUCCUCUUCACCACCCGUUUUUUUCCACUCAGAGAAAAAUUCACAUGUUUGUCAAGAAAUCAUAGUUAAAAAAACGCGCCUAGGCUCUAGGCGUUGGCAAAACGCAUUGCGCAUAACUACAUUUAAUCCGCGCAUAAUUGCGCAUAAGCAUGUGCUUUAGUCAAUAAAGCGCAAGCCGGUGGCAAAACGCACAAUUAACGUCUAGCGCUUUUUUGAACUAUGCAAGAAACCAAAAGGAACCUAACCCAAGGAAGAAAAUAGCUUGCAGCCACACAGGCAUUCUAUCGAGCAGGUCAAAAGCAUCGGAGAAAGAAAGAGGCUCACCUUGGAACAAACGCACAGGAGAAGACAAAGCAGCAAACCAGAAGAUGAAAACGAAAUAAGAAGAGGAGAGCAUGAAUGAGUAGAUAACGCAAGCAAUGGAGGCGCGAAAUCGAUCCGGUGGAAGAGCACGUAGAUCCUUACCCUAACCACACACAGAAAUGACCCUCUGGACAGGGUGGAUCACAUCCCUCUGGUUCGAUCCCGUGCAACGUCGUGUUCUUGCGCCGCCACUCCUGGCAGGGCCACAAGGCGUGAGGGGUGAGAGGCAACUAACGAAGUAGAUCGACACGGGAGGAGACGCACCCGAAAAAAGGGAUCGUGAGGUAGGAGGAGGCACAGAGUUCCUUACCUUGAUUCGGAUGUCGAAAUUGCCGAGGCGAACGCCGCCACCGCUGCCAUACGCGUCCAGGUCAUUGGCCGUGCUUGGCGGCACUCAGUGCUCCCUACACCGCGCCAUUCACUGGUGGUGGAGAGGAGAGGAGGCGGCCGCUCCCGAUGGUGGUUGCAAUGGCCCAUAUGCUACUUUCGUGGAUGCGGCCUAGCCGCUCAUCACUGUGGACGGGGGCAGGGGAGGAGGGAUGCGAGGCUGGAGGCAGAGGGGGGUUGAUGGAUAGGGUUGGCCAUAUACCUGGCCAAACGGGCCGGCCCGGCACGGCACGGCCCAGCCUGUGCUAAUCGUGCCUGGCCCAGCACGGCCCGCCAUGGAACGUUUAAUAGCCGGGCCGUGCCGGGCCGGUCCACGGGCGCUGCUCCUUGGCCCAGGCAUGGCCUGAUUAGUAAACGGGCCGGCCUGAUGGCCCGUUUAGCACGCUGGGCUGCACAUAUUCAGCCUGUUGGGCUGUUUUUUAGGCCUAUUGGUAUGUAUUUUAGAUAUAAAUAUAUAAAAAAAAUCUGAAAAUUAUAUAAAAAAAUUAAACGGGCCGUGCCGUGCCGGCCCGCGUGCCCAGGCUCCAGGCCCAGGCACGGCCCAAGGCGUGCCGCGUGCCGGGCACGGCCCGUUUAGCCCGUGCCGUGCCUGGCCCAUAGCGGGCCGUGCCGGCGUGCUCGCGGGCUGGCCUGUUUGGCCCGGCCCGUUUGGCCAGCUAUAGUUGGCCAAUCCGGCUGCGCGUUCCUACCCAUCGGUCUGCGAGGAUCAGCCAAUCCCACGUCGCCCACGCUCGGUACGGCCAAUAUUUUUUUCACCCGACGCGCAGACGAGGCACACAUAGCACACACACCACCAAACCGGACCCGCGAGAGAUGGAGGCCCACCCGUCAUUCACCUGAGUAGGAAAGAGCAACAUUGAAAGAAACAUAUGAUUGGAUUUUUGACAGUGCGAUGAAAAACAUCGAGCGAGGUAGAUCGAGCGAACCAGAAUAGCUAGCGCUGGCAUGUGCCGUGGUUAGGGCAUCUCCAACAGUUUGUACGUUAGUUUGUUGGUAAAAUAUGCCAUGUCAUCAACCAAAACCUUAAGAUACAACAACUACAAUGGUUGUAUCUUGUUUGCCCAAUAAGAUGUGAGAUAAUAAAUAAGGUGCUCUCUCAUUCUACAUUGGAGCUUGUGCAAGGGGUGUUGGUUCAUGUACAUACAACCUUCCUCUCUUCCCUCAUUUAUUGUAUGACACAUCAUCAAAAAUCCUAUAUGGCAAAGUCUACCAACAACUAUCUUACAACCAUUAGAGAUGCCCUUAGGCGGGUAGCCUAGCCAAGUUUAUAUGUUCGAUUACAAAGUCAGGAAUGCAUCCUGAUAUUUGCUCCCUUUAACCUCGUCUAACCAUGUAACCUUACACAAAAAUGCACAGUAAUUUUACAAUAGUAAUUUCUCUUUUUCUAGUGUAGUUCAUAACUUUACUGCAUACAAAACAACCGACUUAUAUAAGCACAAGACCAAUUCCGAGGGACAUAAACUUAUUUCACAAGCAUUUUAUUCUUACGGUGGAUGGAGGCUGGUUUAACCCACUGUGUGAGUUGGCUGGGUGAUAAAUAAGGCUUUGGAUUUAGAUUAAAAUGUUCAGAAUGGUACAAAACAUCCAAAAAGUAAGGAAAUUACAACUAUGUUCUCAGGGAGCCAAACAAAAGUCAAUCUCCAGAAUGAGCCAAAGGCGUGCCGCCAUUGCCUCUUCAUUGUCAAAGCUAUCCUAACCAUGUAUCCCGUGGUCAGGAAGUCGUCAUGCUUAGAUCACCUGCAAGUCAAAGCAAUAUGUCGGAGUUUGGCCCCUUAAUAAAAUAUGUCAAGGUCCGGAGAGUAUGUUCCUUUUUGCGAAUUAACUUAUGUAUUACUCAAAUUUUGGGGAUUACUAUCUUGUCCAUUUGUAAUUGAAGGAACACUUUCGAGCAACAAGAAAAAUUGCACAUGGAAGGAUUUGGCAGACAUGCUCGUUCGUGUUGAUAAACACCAAAAAAAAUCUAACUACGCCAUCUAACUUAUAUUUGGUAUUGUCUCUUGAAAAAUAUAUUUCUUGUUUAGGUACUCCUUCUGAUUCUCAUUUGAUAUUUAGCAUCUCUUAUACGACCCGUGUAAUGUGUUACUUAUAGGAGCAAGUAAUUUGAUCUAGUUACUAUGUCGAAUUUAUCGAAUCAUGCUCGGUUAUAUAUGGCUACGAGAAUAUGAUGGUGUUUUAGUUCUGUACUGCAUACACAAAUCGUGGGAUUAUAUACUCAAAUUGUGAUAUUUUAGUAAUUGAUAUAUUUUAUCUCAACUUAUGGUAAUGUAUAUAUCUAUAUAGAAAAUUCAUCCUUUUCAUCAUCUUCUUACGAGUUUUUGAUACAUGGAAUUCAUAUUAUAGUCGCCCAAAUGAUUUUCAAUGUAUUAGUUUAGUGAUGUGUAAUAUAUGAACAAAUAACAUACAGUCUCUAUCACUUUAGUCUAAUGUUUUUUCGGGCACACAUCAGUUCAAUAAGGCUUGUUUUUCAACUUAAUAACAUUAUAAAUGAAAUGAAAAUAGAAAAUAUGUUAAAAAAAUGAGCAUUUAGUAAAGUUUGUUGAAAUAAAACAAAACUAUAUAUUUACAAGUCGAUGUAUUUGUUUCUCAAACUAGUGUAGUUUCCUAAUUUUGGUGGCAAGUAUUGCAAAGUUGUUCUUUCGAUGUGGAUAUAGUGAAUAAUAUAUAUAUAAUUGGAAACCUCUGUUGUUGGUGGUUGGUGGAUAUUUAUUUAAUUCUAUUUAUCAAGUGAGAUAUUUUUUAAGAGAUGAUGAUGUGCUCCAGAUUUUUAUGGCCAGGAGACAUGCAAAUUUAAGAAAUGUUGAGUUUAAUGAUACAUACGAACUAUUCUGUAAGAUGAAAAUGCAGUUGAGUUAGUAUAACUGCCAAAACAUAUCUUUCUCUAAACUAUAUAAAGACUAUUGAAUUGUACAUUAAAAAAAUUGAAAUGUGGCCACACGCAAAAUGAAAUUCUUGAUCCACCAUUGUUCAAAAUUUGGCUAUUGCAUAGGUGCAUUGGGUAGUACAUUGUAAGGUUGGUCAUCUAGGGUAGAGGUGGAUAUGCUGGAUGACCAAAUAAUUUUGGUUGCUGCUAUAGCAGCUGGGUCCAAAGGUGGAGGAUCUGUGAUGACUUUUGGGCCAGCAUUAAUGGUUAGGACAUAGAAUUAUUCGAGUUCAUCGUAGGAAACAAAGCCAAAACCAGAUCUUGCUAACAUCAUUCCAUGUGAAUUCAAGAACAAAUUAAAGGCAUCCCCUUUUUGGGGCUCUCCAUACCCUAUCAGCAUUACCAAGUGACCCAUUUGUAUAGUAAUAUUUUUCAUCUUCAUCAUGCUUCACUGGGCACCUAUAGAUUUCAUCUUUGUUGAUGUCACAAAAUUGAACUAUUGUCACCAGAGUUGCUAGCACAAGCCAACAUCUAAAAACUCCUUAAUUUGUGCAACUGGAAGCUUCUUUUAAUGGUUGUAAUCUCUAUACAUGUUUAAAUCCAUCUUUCCUUCCACCAAGAUCUCCUUUUCUCUUUGAUAUGUGUCUUCUGUGUGUGGGUUCCAUGGAGUUUAACACACUCCACAUUGGUGCAGGAACCCCUUAUAGGAUUUUGCUACUAGCAACGUCUGGCUCAAGGCACAUGCAACAAGUGUUUUGCCAAAAUACUAGCAUCAUUUAGGAAAAAUGUAUGCACCGCUAGCGAAUAUCUACUAGCAUCGCAUACAAUAGGUAGACGCUGCCAUAAAGGUGAACAUGACACUCCCACUAGUCUGAAACUACUAGCUGAGUUUGAACGUUCAGAACGUAACUACUACCUCCGUCCCAUAAUAUAAGAAUGUUUUUGAUACUAGUGUAGUGUCAAAAACGUUUUUAUAUUAUGGGACGGAGGGAGUAGUUCAGAAGCUAGGAGUAUGCAAUGAUGUAUAAUGCGCAACUAAUGUAGAGUGUGGACCCCAUGAUCUAGCCUGGACGCGGCUAAAGAUGCACAUAGUGGUCGCGCAUCUUUUGUAACCGCGCUCCAUUAGUGCUAGCAUGUAUAUAUUGCUCGUUUAAAAUACAUGUACACUAAAAAAGUUGAAACAGAAAACCAUGCUUGAAAUCCUUAUAAAAUAUGCGCAACUUCAAACAAAUAAUAAUUAAUUGGCGUAUAGCACAUGUCUAUACCCCUAUAUAGUGUGCGAAUAACUUUGAAAGAUGGUCGUUGGAUGAAGCCAAUCCGACGGUGCAGAGAUGGCAAAUUCGAGCACUACUGGCCGUUGAAUAUCAUCUACAUUCCACCAGAUUUUGCCACAUGUACAAUCUAGAAGACUCCAUGGUUGAACUUAAGCAUAGUGCACAAACCUCAAAACACAAGCACUUCUCCUUUGUUCUAGAAUCUUCCAUAUCAUAAUUGCCCAAAAAAAUUUCUACAUGAAUUGCCAUUAUUUGUUUUUACUUUAUGCUUUACAACGCACAAUUUCAUGAAUCUUAAAAUAGAUUAGCUUUUUUUAUAAAAACUAAUUGAUUUUGAAUGAGAUGAACUAUAAGAAUUAAACAACAUCUACAUCAUGCAUAUAUGACUCAAAGUUUACAUGCUAUAAUGUGGUAUUUAUUCAUAAUUUGGUUGCCAAAUCUCAUGCGUGCAAUGCACGUGUACCUUACUAGUAUACAAAGUUUUGUAGUCACAUGGCUAAUGAUGAGCUUGCUAUACCAUAUUUCUCUCAAACCAGAUCGCACUUCUGCCCUUCGAAACUUCAAAUCUACCAUUGAUACCCCGCGCGGAUUUCUAAGGAACGUAUUUGAAAACUUUUGUGUAACACAUUGAAAUUAUAAACAUAGCUUCAAGUGUAAAUAUAAUGACAAUACCAACAUUCAUUUAUUUUUAGACCACAUUACAUUAUCUAAAAAAUACAAAAAAUGCCCUAGUGUUUGAUUUAUCCCAUAAUUUUUUAGGAAUUUCUCAAAAUUUUAAUAAAGAACACCUAAAUAUACAGUAAAAAAUAGUUUAAUAAAUUGGAACACAAAACACCCUGUCGGGGAUAUACCCCGCGGUAUGACCCGGCCGGAGAUAUGACCCGGCUGGGACUUGAUGUUUCAUUGAUGACCUGGCAGAUUAUAACCCGGCAGACACAGUCAUAUAACCCGGCAGACACAGUCAUCUAACCCAGCAGACACAGUCAUAUAACCCGACAGACACAGUCAUCUAACCCGGUAGACACAGUCAUGUAACCCGGCAGAUGUUUAGCCAGAUGGUAAGCCAGAUGGUAAGUCAGAUCGUAAGCCAGACCAUAAGCCAGAUGGUAAGCCAGAUAGUAAGUCAGAUCGUAAGCCAGACCGUAAGUCAGAUUGUAAGCCAGAUUGUAAGAAGCCCAAGACGUUAAGAAGCCCAUGGUAAGACGUCAAAAUAGGUUAAGUCUUAAGUCCAAGUUGGACUCUACAUGUAACCCGCCCCUUCAGCUUAUAUAAGGAGGGGCGGGGCACCCCAAGAGGAGAGGUUGAAUAAGGGCUAGGUUAGACAUAACUAGGAGAGCCGGCUUACGGCAACUCCUCUCAUGAGCAUAAUGAGACCUAGCCACAAACAGCAUGUAGGGUUCUUACCGGAUGAUGUUUCCCGGGGCCCGAAGCUGUCUAAACUCUUGUCUUGUGUUGCUCUCUCGAUUCCGCUCAACCCCUCUCAAGUUACCACAAAGAUGCGUUGGCCUCACGGUUAAGUCCUCACACUAGGACAUCUGCGCACGGUGGUAUUGAGUUCUUGGAGGGAUCUCUCCGAGGGAUCGAGAAGCUCGCAAAUUUUCUGGAGGAAGAUUAUCCGGCUUGAACGGAUCUACAUCAGCUUGAAGAUCACCAGUCUAAGUUUACAAUCUGUGAUAUCUAAAAGUGUAUUAGGGUUACACGGCGGAUUGCAAAUCGAGCCGCCGUGGGCGACUUAAGUUUCUUCUUUUACAAAGUUGCCAUGGCAAGAAAAAUCCUGAAGCACUGUAUGAGAUUCCAACUUGAGCCGGACUCGGACUCGCUGGUCGCGCCUCCGCCUUCGAGCCGCUACAGAUACACCCCGCUUCAACUAUGGCCAAGUCGCCGCCUUCGCCUCCAGCUCCGAGCUAUUGUUCAACCAUCGCGUCUCGCGGACCUGCCAGCCAGCGAGUCGCCUUCGUCAUUGCAUGUAAGAACCAAGCAGUUGCUGAAUUGACUCCUCUGCAUCGUCUUCUGAUACGUCUCCGUCGUAUCUACUUUUCCAAAUACUUUUGCCCUUGUUUUGGACUCUAACUAGUAUGAUUUGAAUGGAACUAACUCGGACUGACGCUGUUUUCAGCAGAAUUGCCAUGGUGUUGUUUUUUGUGCAGAAAAUAAAAGUUCUCGGAAUGACCUGAAACUCUACGGAACACCUUAGAAAAAACAAUAAAAAAUCCUCGCAAAAGAUGAAGACCAAGGGGCCCACACUCUGUCCACGAGGGUGGGGGGCGCCCUCCUACCUUGUGGGCCCCCUGGUGGCCCUCCGACGCCAACUCCAACUCCAUAUAUUGGCUUUCGGGGAGAAAAAAUCAGAGAGAAGAAAUCAUCACAUUUUACGAUACGGAGCCACCGCCGAGCCCUAAUCUCUCUCGGGAGGGCUGAUCUGGAGUCAGUUCGGGGCUCCGGAGAGGGUCAUUCAUCGCCGUCGUCAUCAUCAACCAUCCUCAAUCACCAAUUUCAUGAUGCUCACCGCCGUGCGUGAGUAAUUGCAUCGUAGGCUUGCUGGACGGUGAUGGGUUGGAUGAGAUUUAUCAUGUAAUCGAGUUAGUUUUGUUAGGGUUUGAUCCCUAGUAUCCAUUAUGUUCUGAGAUUGAUGUUGCUAUGACUUUGCUAUGCUUAAUGCUUGUCACUAGGGCCCGAGUGCCAUGAUUUCAGAUCUGAACCUAUUAUGUUUUCAUGAAUAUAUGUGUGUUCUUGAUCCUAUCUUGCAAGUCUAUAGUCACCUACUAUGUGUUAUGAUCCGGGAACCCCGAAGUGACAAUAAUCGGGACCACUCCCGGUGAUGACCAUAGUUUGAGGAGUUCAUGUAUUCACUAUGUGCUAAUGUUUUGUUCCGGUUCUCUAUUAAAAGGAGGCCUUAAUAUCCCUUAGUUUCCAAUAGGACCCCGCUGCCACGGGAGGGUGGGAGGGUAGGACAAAAGAUGUCAUGCAAGUUCUUUUCCAUAAGCACGUAUGACUAUAUACGGAAUACAUGCCUACAUAACAUUGAUGAACUGGAGCUAGUUCUGUGUCACCCUAUGUUAUGGCUGUUACAUGACGAACCGCGUCCCGCAUAAUUAUCCAUCGCUAAUCCAGUGCCUACGAGUUUUCCAUAUACUGGUUCUCGCUUAUUUACUUUUCUGUUGCUACUGUUACAAUCACUACAAAAUACCAAAAACAUUACUUUUGCUGUCUUUACUUUUGUUACCAUUACCACUACUAUCAUAUUACUUUGCUACUAAAAACUUUGCUACAGAUACUAAGUUUCCAGGUGUGGUUGAAUUGACAACUCAGCUGCUAAUACUUGAGAAUAUUCUUUGGCUCCCCUUGUGUUGAAUCAAUAAAUUUGGGUUGAAUACUCUACCCAACCGUUGCAAUCCCCUAUACUUGUGGGUUAUCAAGACCUUUUUCUGGCACCGUUGCCGGGGAGCAUAACUCUAUUCUUUGAGUCACUUGGGAUUUAUAUCUGUUGGACACUAUGAAGAACUUGAAAGAUGAUCGAACUACUAUUUUGCCCUCAACUACGAGGGGAGGUAAGGGACUAUCAUCUAGCCUUGCACUAGAUUCUCCUUCUGUUAUGAGUAAGUUUGCGACACCUAAACCUGUUACUGCUGUGAAUUUUGAUAUGUCGCAUGUUAUUGAUGAUGCCACUUCUGCUAUGCAUGAUACUUAUGAUGAAACUACUUCUAUGCUUGAUACUACUGUGCCCCUUGGUGAAUUUCUUGAUGAGCAAAUUGCUAGGUCUAGAGAAAGAGAAAUUAUUGAACCUGAACACGAUGAUGUUAGUGAUGAUGAAAAUAUGCCUGCUAUUCCUGAGGGUUAUCUUUUUUAUGCUGAAUCUUCUACAACUAUUCUUGCUUGCCAGGAUAGACAUGAACUUAAGAGGUUGCUAGUUAAAUGGAGUAAAGAAUCUUUUAGAGAUAGAAUGAAACCCGACCCUGCUUUUGCUACUUCACCUAUCUGUGUUCUCGAUAAUGAUUAUUAUGAUUUUUCUGUUGAUCCAGAUAUAAUUACUUUGGUUGAAUCUGAUCCUUUUUAUGGCUAUGAAUCUGAAACUGUUGUGGCACAUCUUACUAAGUUAAAUGAUAUAGCUGCCCUGUUUACUAAUAAUGAGAGAUUGCGCUACCUUUAUUUACUCAAAAUAUUCCCGUUCUCAUUAAAGGGUGAUGCUAAGAUAUGGUUUAAUUCUCUUGAUCCUGAUUGUGUGCAAAGUCCCCAGGAUAUGGUUUAUUACUUCUUUGCUAAAUAUUUCCCUGCUCAUAAGAAACAAGCUGCUUUGAGGGAAAUAUACAACUUUGUGCAAACUGAAGAAGAGAGUCUCCCACAAGCUUGGGGGAGGCUUCUCAAGUUACUUAAUGCUUUGCCUGAUCAUCCUCUUAAGAAACCUGAAAUAUUUGAUAUCUUUUAUAAUGGACUAACUGAUGCUUCCAGAGAUUACCUGGAUAGUUGUGCUGGUUCUCUUUUCAGGGAAAGAACACCGGAUGGCGCUGAAAUUCUAUUGAAUAAUAUGUUGGCAAAUGAAAAUAAUUGGGCACCUCCCGAGCUACCUCCUGAGCCAGUUCCUGAGCCAAUUACUGAGCCUAUUCCUAAACCAACUCCGAAGAAGAGAGGUGUUCUAUUUCUCAGUCCCGAAGAUAUGCAAGAGGCAAAGAAAUCUAUGAAAGAAAAAGGUAUUAAAGCUGAAGAUGUUAAGAAUUUACCUCCUAUUGAAGAAAUAUAUGGUCUUAAUUUACCGCCUGUUGAAGAAGUAUAUGAUCUCAAUUACUUAUUUACUGAAGAACCUCCCGAUAUCCCGACACAGGUAGUAAAGGUAAAUUCUCUCUAUAGAUAUGAUAAAGCUGAAGUCCCUCCUACUAAAAUUGCUAGUCAGUGCUUGGAUGAGUUUGAUGACUUUAUGUUUAAGCAAGAUGACUUUAAUGCUUAUUUUGGUAGACAAUUAAAACAGAAUACCUUUAUGAUUAAACGCUUGGGUGAUUAUAUGGCUGAUAUUAGAGGUGAACUUAAACUUGUUAGCAAACAUGCUUCUAUAGUUACCACUCAUGUAGAACAAGUACUUAAAGCUCAGAAAGAAGUGUUUGAUGAAAUGAAUAGUAAGAAAAAUGAUUAUGCUGUUAGAGUGGCUACUAGAACUGGUAGAAUGACUCAGGAACCUUUGUAUCCUGAAGGCCACCCUAAGAGAAUCGAGCAAGAUUCUCAGAGAAACAAUAUUGAUGUACCUAGUUCUUCUAAGAGGAAGAAAAAGAAAAAUGAUAGGACUUUGCAAACUUCUAGUGAACCUAUUGCUGAACCACCUGAGAAUCCAAAUGAUAUCUCUAUUUUUGAUGCUGAAACACAAUCAGGUGAUGAACAUGAACCUAGUGAUAAUUUUAAUGAUAAUGUUCAUGUUGAUGCUCAACCUAGUAAUGAUAAUGAUGUAGAAGUUGAAGCUGCUGUUGAUCUUGAUAACCCACAAUCAAAGAAUCAACGUUAUGAUAAAAGAGACUUCGUUGCUAGGAAACAUGGUAAAGAAAGGGAACCAUGGGUUCAGAAACCCAUGCCUUUUCCUCCGAAACCAUCCAAGAAAAAGGAUGGUGAGGAUUUUGAGCGCUUUGCUGAAAUGAUUAGACCCAUCUUUCUGCGUAUGCGAUUAACUGAUGUGCUCAAAACAAAUCCUUAUGCUAAGUAUAUGAAGGAUAUCAUUACUAAUAAAAGAAAGAUACCUGAAGCUGAAAUUUCCACCAUGCUUGCUAAUUAUACCUUUAAAGGUGGAAUACCAAAGAAACUUGGAGAUCCAGGAGUACCUACUAUACCAUGCUCCAUUAAGAGGAAUUAUGUUAAAACUGCUUUAUGUGAUCUUGGAGCCGGCGUCAGUGUUAUGCCUCUGUCUUUAUAUCAUAGACUUGACUUAAAUAAGUUGACACCUACUGAAAUAUCUUUGCAAAUGGCUGAUAAAUCAACUGCUAUACCUGUCGGUAUUUGUGAGGAUGUGCCUGUUGUGGUUGCAAACGUUACUAUUUUAACGGACUUUGUUGUUCUUGAUAUUCCCAAGGAUGAUAGUAUGUCUAUUAUUCUUGGAAGAUCUUUACUUAAUACUGCAGGGGCCGUUAUUGAUUGCACCAAAGGCAAUGUCACUUUUCAUGUUAAUGGCAAUGAGCACACGGUACAUUUUCCGAGGAAACAAACUCAAGUUUAUAGUAUCAACUCUAUUGGAAAAAUUCCAUCGAUUAUAUUUGGAGGUUUUGAAUUCCCUAUCCCUAAUGUCAAGAAAAAGUAUGAUAUUCUUAUUGUUGGGGAUUUUCAUAUCCCUGUUGAGGUAACUUAGUGUCAUUCAAAAUUUCCCUCGUUCCGUGAUUAUUCGGAAUGAGUUUGUUAACAAGACUUGAUCAACCUUGUUAGCGGGUUCAUUUUGGUGAUCACGAGAUGUAUGAAACUAGAAGCACAACCUUCUGUACCCUCUUUAUAUUUUCUGUUAUUUAGUAGAAAUAAAGUAAAAUAGUAUUUUUCUGUCUGUCUCCUAACUUAUCCAUGCAAUAUAAAAAUAUCCCAAAAUUAAAAGUCCUCAGAAUGCCGUGCCAAUUUAAUAUGAUUUUUCAGGAAUAUUUAAGGAUUUACUGUGCAAAAAUUACCGCGGAGGGAGCUGCCACCUGGUCACAAGGGUGGAGGGCGCGCCCUACCCCCCUGGGAGCGCCCCCCUGCCUCGUGGGCCCAUGAUGACCCUCCUCCACUUAUUCCUGCACCCAUCUUCUUCCUUUGCCUCACACAAACACGAAAAACCAACUCAAGCACGAGUUCCAGCCCCCGUUGCUGUGAUUUUCGAUCUCCUUGCUCAAAGCACCUCUUGCAAAACUGCUUGGGUAGAUUGUUCCUUGGUAUGUGACUCCUCCAUUGGUCCAAUUAGUUUUUGUUCUAGUGCUUUAUUCAUUGCAAAUUUGUGCUCCAUAGGUGACCAUAUUCUUGAGCUUGCAUGUUAAAUUUAUAUGGUUCCAAGUAGUUCCAAUGCUUUAUAUAGGCUCUAGGCACUUGUGGGAGUUGUUGCUAUCAAUUUUAUUGAAGUUGGUUCACUUUUAUUUGAAGUUACUAAAAAUUUCAGACUGUUUCAGAAAAUAAUGAAGAAAUUUUUGAGGGGCUCGUCGAGCCGAAGCUCUAAUGAAAAAUAAAAGGAAGAAGAGCAGAAGCCCAAAUUUAAUUUGCCUCGCACCACGGAGGUCCGGCCGUGUGAAUGGCCUUCCGAUGACUUCUUGAGGAGAGCUGGGAUUUAUGAAGAUUUCUAUCUAUUGAUUGAGAAUGCUGGCCUCACCAACUUCCUCCACGACCAACGUCGUCAGUAUCUCUUACUCACAAAUACUUUUGUGCAAAACUUCUACUUUUUCCCUAAGAAAUCACCUCCAACAGUAGAGUUUCAUUUAUAUGACGUUGUUAAAGAGAUGACAUUAGCUGAAUUCUGCGAGGUUUGCAGAAUACCCUUUGAUGGAAACUUAGAUGAACCCCACCGUAAUGAAGUAGAAGCUUUUAUUAACACUAUCACUGUGGGAGAAACCAGGAAGGUUUCUGAUGCAAGGAUCACUAGCAUACAUUUUCCUGUUUUACGCUACUUUGCCUUAUUUGCUAGUCGUUGCUUGAUUGGACGCGGGAACUGUGGGAACCUUAGUAUUCCUGAUAUUAUUAUUUUGCUCCAUGGUUUAUACCGCAAUAACUCUGUUAGUAUGGGUGGAAUUGUUGCUAGACGGUUAAGUCUGAACCGUACUAAGGUCCCAUCUUUGGAGGCAUUUAUGCUUCACGCCUAGCUGAACAUUUUGAAAUACCUAUUAGGCAUGAGGAGGAAGAAGAAACAACGCUGCCCCGUGUUUAUUUAGAUUAUAAGAUCAUGAUAGCGCAUGAUUUUCUUGUUAAGAGUCGCGAUGGGGAGCUCAAAUAUAAAUUAUACUUUGAUAAACAUCACCCUGAGACUAUUACUUUGCCUGCUCCUUCUUUGUUUAACUUGUCUGCAGAACCUCACAUCGUUCCGUGGUCGGCUGUUCAAGCCUAUCGGAAUCCUGCACCAGCCCCGGAGCCGGAGCCACAAGAUGAGCCUCCACGACUAUCUGUUUAUUCUUGGGAUCCAGAGGAGGCUGCCAGCCAGUGGCAUCCGGAGUCUUCUUCAUCACAGUAUAACCCCAGCUUCACCUACGGGUAUCCGCCAGGCUAUCUCUGGCAAUAGACCAACUUAGGCCAAAAGCCUAAGCUUGGGGGAGUACGUAUUUCCCAUCGACAUUACAUUCAUGUUCACACACACACUCAUUGCUAUCUGUCGGUGCUCAUACUAUUUCACUGUAAUAUCCAUGCUAGUUUACUUUCUUUUUCCUGCUUUCUUAUUGUGUGUUUGUUAAACUUUAAGAAAAAACAAAAAAAAUAGUAGUAGUUUACUUUUUUGCUUGUAGUAGAAAUUAAAAAGAAAAAACCCAAAAAUAUUUCCCGUUCUUCUUUUACUUGUUGGGAGCUUUCCCGUGUAAAUGGUUUUUAUUUUAUUUUCUUUUUUUGGGGGUUGAGAAGACCAUAUUGAAAAUGCUUAGUGGCUCUUAUAUGCAUGAUUGAUUAUUUAAAUUUAGAGACCAUAUUACUUGUCUUCUCUCUUGAGUUGAAUGCUUGCAGAUUCCAGCUUAGUCCAAUGCACGUGCACUCUUAUUAUUAUACACACCGUUUAGUCGUGCAAGUGAAAGGCAAUAAUGAUGAUAUAUGAUGUACUUAUUGGGAUGAGAAAAACUGGUAUGAACUCGACCUCUCUUGUUUUUGUAAAUAUGAUGAAUCAUCGUUCCUGAGUCAGCUAUUAUGAAGUAAACAUAUUUGCAAUGACAUUUAGGGAUUAUAGUUGCUUGUGCCAUGCUUGAUUAGCUAUGAGCUAUAAUGGUUUACCUUGCGUGCCAAUAUGCUAUUAGAAUGAUUAUGAUGUGGUAUGAUGGGAUGGUAUCCUCCUUUAAAUGAAUUGAGUGACUCGACUUGGCACAUGUUCACGCAUGUAGUUGAAUCAAAUCAACAUAGCCUUCAUGAUAUUUAUGUUCAUGGUGGAUUAUAUCCUACUCAUGCUUGUAUUUGGUGUAAAUUAAUUUUAAUGCAUGUUUACGACUGUUGUCGCUCUCUCAGUUGGUCGCUUCCCUGUCUUUUGCUAGCCUUCACCUGUACUAAGCGGGAAUACUGCUUGUGCAUCCAAACUCCUUAAACCCCAAAGUUAUUCCAUAUGAGUCCACUAUACCUACCUAUAUGCGGUAUUUACCUGCCGUUCCAAGUAAAUUUUUAUGUGCCAAACUCUAAACCUUCAAAUAAACAUUCUGUUUUGCAUGCUCGAAUAGCUCAUAUGUCAACUAGAGCUGCCCUUAUCUUCCGUGUUAGGCGGGUUAUUCUCAAGAGGAGUGGACUCCGCUCCUCAUUCACGAGAAAAUGGCUGGUAUCCGGGAUGCCCAGUCCCAUGCUUUAUGCAAACUAAAUCAAAAUAACUGCAAACAAAACUCCCCUUGGGACCCAUUGAAUGUUGGUGGCACUCGUUGUUUCGAGCAAGCCAUGGAUUGAUGCUUGUGGAGGAAGGGGAGUAUAAACUUUACCAUUCUGUUUGGGAACCGCCUAUAAUCUGUUUAGCAUGGAAGAUAUCGUCGUCUUUUAGUUGUUAUGUUGACAAUGAAAGUAUGCCGCUCAAAAUAUAAUUUAUCUCUAUUUCAAAACUGAGCUCUAGCACCUCUACAAAUCCCUGCUUCCCUCUGUGAAGGGCCUAUCAAUUUACUUUUAUGUUGAGUCAUCACCCUUCUUAUUAAAAGCAUCUGCUGGAGAGCACACUGUCGUUUGCAUUCAUUAUUAUUGGUUUAUAUUGGGUAUGACUUGACUGGAUCUCUUUUACCAUGAAUUACAAUGUUUAGUCAGUCCUUGAUCUUUAAAGGUGCUCUGCAUUUAUGUUUUGCGGUCUCAGAAAGGGCUAGAGAGAUACCAUUUUGUUAUAUCAUGUUAUGAUUAUUUUGAGAAAGUGUUGUCAUCCGAGUUUUAUUAUUAUGGCUCGCUAGCUAAUUAUGCUAUUGAUAUGAGUAACUGUGAGACCUACAUGUUAUUGUGAGUAUGGUUAGUUCAUAAUAUUUGCUGAAACUUGAAUGCUGGCUUUUCAUGUUUACAACAACAAGAGCAAACAGAGUUUGUAAAAGUUUUUCUUUUUCUCUUUCAGUUUGUCAACUGAAUUGCUUGAGGACAAGCAAGGGUUUAAGCUUGGGGGAGUUGAUACGUCUCCGUCGUAUCUACUUUUCCAAACACUUUUGCCCUUGUUUUGGAUUCUAACUUGUAUGAUUUGAAUGGAACUAACCCGGACUGACGCUGUUUUCAGCAAAAUUGCCAUGGUGUUGUUUUUGUGCAGAAAAUAAAAGUUCUCGGAAUGACCUGAAACUCCACGGAACACGUUAGAAAAAACAAUAAAAAAUCCUCGCAAAAGAUGAAGACCAGAAGGCCCACACCCUGUCCACGAGGGUGGGUGGCGCGCCCCCUGGGCGCACCCCUACCUCGUGGGCCCCCUGGUGGCCCUCCGAUGCCAACUCCAACUCCAUAUUUUGGCUUUCGGGGAGAAAAAAAUCAGAGAGAAGAAAUCAUCGCGUUUUACGAUACGGAGCCGCCGCCAAGCCCUAAUCUCUCUCGAGAGGGCUGAUCUGGAGUCAGUUCGGGGCUCCGGAGAGGGGCAUUCGUCGCCGUCGUCAUCAUCAACCAUCCUCCAUCACCAAUUUCAUGAUGCUCACCGCCGUGCGUGAGUAAUUGCAUCGUAGGCUUGCUGGACGGUGAUGGGUUGGAUGAGAUUUAUCAUGUAAUCGAGUUAGUUUUGUUAGGGUUUGAUCCCUAGUAUCCAUUAUGUUCUGAGAUUGAUGUUGCUAUGACUUUGCUAUGCUUAAUGCUUGUCACUAGGGCCCGAGUGCCAUGAUUUCAGAUCUGAACCUAUUAUGUUUUCAUGAAUAUAUGUGUGUUCUUGAUCCUAUCUUGCAAGUCUAUAGUCACCUACUAUGUGUUAUGAUCCGGGAACCCCGAAGUGACAAUAAUCGGGACCACUCCCGGUGAUGACCAUAGUUUGAGGAGUUCAUGUAUUCACUAUGUGCUAAUGCUUUGUUCCGGUUCUCUAUUAAAAGGAGGCCUUAAUAUCCCUUAGUUUCCAAUAGGACCCCGCUGCCACGGGAUGGUGGGAGGGUAGGACAAAAGAUGUCAUGCAAGUUCUUUUCCAUAAGCACGUAUGACUAUAUACGGAAUACAUGCCUACAUAACAUUGAUGAACUAGAGCUAGUUCUAUGUCACCCUAUGUUAUGACUGUUACAUGACGAACUGUAUCCGGCAUAAUUAUCCAUCGCUAAUCCGGUGCCUACGAGUUUUCCAUAUACUGGUUCUCGCUUAUUUAAUUUUCCGUUGCUACUGUUACAAUCACUACAAAAUACCAAAAACAUUACUUUUGCUAUCUUUACUUUUGUUACCGUUACCACUACUAUCAUAUUGCUUUGCUACUAAACACUUUGCUGCAGAUACUAAGUUUCCAGGUAUGGUUGAAUUGACAACUCAACUGUUAAUAGUUGAGAAUAUUCUUUGGCUCCCCUUGUUUCGAAUCAAUAAAUUUGGGUUGAAUACUCUACCCUCGAAAACUGUUGCGAUCCCCUAUACUUGUGGGUUAUCAUCUUCCCUGGGUCACGCCGUGAAAUAAAGCCACCCCUGUUCCUAAGCCGCCGACACCAUGAGUCGCCGUCUCCAAUGCCGCUACAAUGCACUUCCUCGAGUCGGCCUUGUACGGCCGUACCUAGUCCACGAUUCAGAGAUGAACUCAGUUUUCGCCGGACCCUGGUUCGUCAACCGCCGCCUCCGCGGCGCUCGCAUCCGAGCUGCCACAUCGCCGGUCGUUUCCGCUUCCACGGCCCUUGUCCCCUGAAAGUUGCGUCGAGCCUUUUUCAUGGUCCUCGUCUCCAUCGACGGGCCGCCCUGCUGUCUCGUGCCGUCCUCGGGCUGCUGCGGCGCCGCCGGUGAGCCACUGCCCGAGAGCAGCUGUUGAGCCGCCUCUCUGCCUUACUCCGCUGCCGCUGACCCAGAGUCGCCUCGGCUGCGGCUCGCCCCCACUGGCCUCGAUCUUGAGCUACUACGGUUGAGUUGCCCUGGCUCGUCCUCUGCAUCAAACUGCCGUGGCCGCCUCGCUGGCGAUUCGCCCCUCCGGUUUUCAAGUCGCCUCCUACUGCCGUUCUGCUGCGGCUACUUCUUGAUCCAUUGUCGCUAGUGCGCCAAGCCGCCACCACCAACCGCCAGCUUCGCCUCCAUCAGAACUUCAAGUCGCCUCGACUCCGAGUCGCCUGAGCUGUCGUUGCCGCCUUGCGGGUGGUUUUCUGUCGCGGUCGCGGCCUUGCAUCGCCGGGCCCCCGUCCGAGUCACCUAUUGCCCUGUCUCUGCUGCCACAUAUGCCACUUCUGGCAAGACGUCGCAUCGUCUGUCAAAGUCGCCGGCGCCUCACUGCGCUCUCUUACAUGGCCUUUCAAGCUGCCACGGCCCCUGUUGAGCUGCCGGUCUUCACCGCCAGGGACGUGCCUAUGAGUCGCCACCUCCUUCACCGUGACCCGCCGCGUCGCUCUUCUGCCGCGGCUCGCUUUGCUCUGGCCAGCGCCGGCUUGCUGCUGCCGUUGGCCACCUGCGCUGACCGCCUGCUGGCUUCGUUAUGCCUGCCACCCAUCUCACUCUGUUGCAACUACAGCAGCGCCGAGCCGGGCUAUCUCACUGCCGUGUGGCCAAGCCGCCGUUGCCGGGUUUACCGUCCUCGUGCAUCACUUCUGUUCCAACCCGCGCGGGGGUUGGCCGCCCGCCUGUUCAAUCUCUUCGCGGACGCGCCCAAGGAGGAGUGCGAUGAAUUCACUGCUGCCAUGGCACUUGGGGGCUGUAGGCCUGUAGCCCUUUCUGCUUUGAGCCUACAGCUCCCGCACAUGCCGGGUCAACGCUGCACUGACCCUUCGUUUCGAGCUGCCGGGGCGCGUGGCCGCUGGGUAACCACGCCCGCUCCCCCUGCAAGACCAGUGCUGGCUCCUUGCACGGCCCACAUUCCGCUGCGGCCGGCUCUCUGAGUCUCCAACCCGCCCUCACCCACGAGCAGCCUCCGCUACGGCGGGUCAACAUCGAGCCGCUGCCGAAGCCUCGCCGACCUCUGUUGUGGUCGGCCGGUCUACCUCUCCGCGACCUCGCUUCGAGCUCUUUUUGUCUCAAAUCACUGUCGCUACCGCCGCCCGGCGGUUGCGACCAUGGCCAUGGCCUUGCCUCAAGUCGUCGUCUUCAACUGCCAAGCCGUCUCUGCCGCUGUGACUCACGGUGGCCGUGGUUCGCCUCCAGGCCCAGCGCUGUACACCCUUGCCUCGGUACUCGGCCGCGCGCCCGUGCUGUUUCCGUGGUCGCACCCACCUACCGGUUCACCGCUGCAAGCCUCCGCUAUAAGCCGCUGUGAUGCUGCCGCGUGCUAUCGCGUCUGCCAUAGCCUCGCCGUUGCGGCCUCGCUCUGCCGCUGUCGCUCGUCCCGCCUCUGCUAGGCUUCGCUGCUUCUGCCGCGAGCCGGCCAGCGCACCAAGUUGCCGCUUCAAGCUGCCUGAGCCGUUAUACCUUUUCUGGCCAGGCCUGACCCAUCGUGCCUGAGCUCGCCUGAGCUGCCGUGAGCAUCCGCGUCCACCUCACAUCCGCUCCACUCCAACCACGCGGAUACGCAGCCGCCCCGGGUUGCCUCGGCUCCGCUCCAUGUCAGCUCGUCGUUUCCCUGCGGUUGCACCCAUUGUUUAACUCCACGGCCUCGUGCCGCCCUUGCCAGAGCAUGCUUCGGGCCGCUUUUUGCUCCGGGUCAUCGCAGAGGUGCCGCCGAGCCGCCUUUGGCCACCUUGCUUCUGCGCCCGGCAGGCGUGCAUCUGUGCCCGGCGCGCCCCCGCCUUACUGCAUUGCGUGCGCCGCAGCGGGUCCUACGCAUCCGCACUGCCGUGGGCCUCCUCUGCCUCACCGUCCUCAUGGCCUGCCCGAGCCGCCGCUUGUCUCCGCCGGGUUACCAUGCGUUCAACCACCGUUCCCGAGCCGUUUUUGCCAUGACCCCAAGCUGCUGGUCUCCGCCGGCGCACCUCAGCGGUUGAGCCGACUCCACCUCUGCUCCGUCACAAGCAAACCUCCGCCAGAUUUUCACUUCAAGCCGCCAGUUGCUGCGUUUUUGUUUGACGCCUCUACUUCUGUCGGAUCAUUGAGCCGCCGUGACCGCGCGAGCUGUCCCGGCGUGAGCAGCUUCGCCGGCCGAGCCGCGCCCCUGUUUCAAAUCGUUGUGUUGAGCUGCCACCGUGACCCGCCGGCAUGCCACCUCCAAACCGCUCCAGCUAGAGCCGCCGCCUUGGCUUCCCGUGAGCUGGUUCUUUGACGCAACCUCACGCCUGGUUGUGCUUAGUUUCCUCUUCCUCCGAGCGUUCGCCGAAGCCGGUUCCAGGUCGUCGCCCAGGCCUGCCUCCCCGCUGUGGCUGGCAGCCCGUGCAACAGAAGAGACAUAAUCACUUUAAAAAAAUCAGGAUAGGCGCAUGCAUGGAGAAGGAAAAAGGGCUCCGUUACAUUGUUUAUUGGCAUAGAUCUCGAAAUUUGACAAGCACUAGGCCUACUACCAGCUGCUGACAGUCGGUACGCAUGGCGAAAGUAAACCUGCCCAAAGCCACUUGAUUAAAAGAAAUACAGAGAAGAAGGGAGCAGCUGGAUUGGUUAAAGCAACUACAACCCGGAGAAGAACGAGGACUCGACUCUGCCGCAACCGCGGCCGUACCACGCCAGCGUAUCUCCGCUGCCGGGCCUCGCCUCAUCGACCCGUCAGUGCGCCUCGCACUCGCCUGUGCCUCCUCGGUUUGGCCGUGCCCGGAUUCUCUCCGGCGGCCAUGCACCUGCGACGCCCGCACCGGUGGCUUCGCCACCCGUUUUUGCACACAUACAUGGAGACCAAGGGUGUGCUAAUGGCCGCACCCACAUACGUGCGAAAAAUACCAGAUGCUAUUUACCCUAUUUAUUUUUAAGUACAUAUUAAUUCAUCCAAGCAAAACUACCUUGCCCUUCUGUAUUUUAUAUGCAGGAGAAUUAUUCAUUACAAAGUGGCAUUAUACCGCGGAGAUGGAGGCGCCAACAUCAUUUCGCACAGGUGGUCGUUGUUACUGAACGGACUCCCACACCGGCUUACAACGCCGUGGCCGUCUCUCGCGACCGCACCGGCUUACAACGCCACGAACGACUCGCACAUCCGCUCUCGCGGCCGGUUCACGCGUCCGCACCAGCUUACAACGAGGAGGACAACUUUGCUCGUCCGCACCGGCUUACAACGCUGCGGCCGACUCAUCUGUCUGCUCUCGCGGUCAAUUCGGCCGUCAUUGUUCUCAGCUUCAUUGUGGUGAUCAUCAACUCUGCGGUGGAUAAUUUCUGGCGUAACAUAUCAUGUGAAAUUCAUCCAUUAUAUUUUUAUAUUACAUAUUGAUUUCUUUAAAAGUGCAAUUACUUUGGCUUGCAAGUUCUCCCAUACAGGAUUCAAACCGGUUUUUUUAUCACGGUCAAUUAUGAAGAAUCUCAAGCCAACUCCUCAAGUCGCCUUGAGACUUGGGGGCUAUGAUGACAUGACUCUGUAAAUGAUUACCAGUUUAAAGCAGAUUCAAGAACUCCGGGUCAUUGGAGGGAAAAUAACCCGGCCCCGGAGACUACUACCUUAUUUGCAAAUAUUUAAAGGUCGUCAGGAAAUUUCUGGCUUAAAAAGAAUGAUUCAGGUUCAAGAUCCGGUUCAAGGUAAACCUGUCUCCCAUAAAGCUUUGAAGCUCUGAAAUCCGGUUUAAAGUCCCGGUUCAAAAAAUAAUCUCUCGCAAGUUCGAGUUCUCAAACAAAUUAAGGGUUGUCAAAAGAGAACUUGCUGCCAGGAUGCGCGGUUCAACCAUGGGUAUCCUGCCUUACGGCUUAUCUUAUUAUGGUCACUUGGGGGCUUCCUGCUGAUCGAGCAUAGCUGGCGGUACCCUCUUGAUUGGCGUCAUGCCAAAUUUAUGGUCACUUGGGGUCUCAGACUGGGGCAACAUGUACCCGGACACGCCAUCGAACUCCAGAACUGACCACCCCCCCACGCGACUAUGACAUCAGAGGAGGAAACCAGAACUGUCAGCUUUCAGCCACAAACCUAGCACAAGAUACACCAUCUUCCAGCUGUCACUUGCAUAGACAAUUGUCUGCGCGUACUCCUGGACGAAAAAACCUCCCUGCUCCACCAUGACGUCGGAGAUAACGCCGUAGCAAUGGGGAUAGAGCAGAAGGAGAGACACACCUGAUGGAGUCACCGCCGCCACCUCGCCGACACCAUCCAUGAACCCUAACGUCGAUCGGCAAACACACGAUGCCAUCAACUCCGAGACGCCGCCAUGAUGAGCACCACCAGUGUGAGAGUGAAGUUGAGGCAGAUUUAUUCGCCCGGGCGUCGCUCCCACCACCCCAAUGACGCACCACACCUACAAAUCCAAACCCUAACUACUGAGCGGAGAUACGGGGUCCCCCCUCCCUCCUGCUGCCGGAGCAGCAGCCGGAGGGAGAGGGGGCCAACUUCUUGGCCGAUGGAGAUCGGUGGAAGAAGAUUCGCCUCCCUAGUCGCCUGGUUGUGGUGGCGGCUAGGGCAGGGGAAAAACGCCUCGCGUCAACUCGUCUCCGAUUAAUCUGGGGACCAAGGGCUGCUACUUGUGCGACAAGCACGGGAUGUCUACUCCUACAAGAAUAGCUCACCGUUACUUCGUACAAACCGUGACGAGCGUAUGCGGCCAAGCCAAAUACGGAGUCAAUACAAUAUUGUUGAAGUGCAGCUCCUCACAAGGAGGCGAGCUCCAUAACAUCAAAAUUCGUGGCGCCCCUCACGAGGAGGCAGACUGAUUACCGCAUUGAUUUCCCCCUUACAAGGAGGUGACAUUAAUCCUUACGUCCGCCGCUCAUGAGGAGGCGGAUCAUUACACUAAUUUCAUCCCUUACGAGGAGGCGAGAUUAGUCAAGUUACGCCCCUCAUGAGGAGGCGAGCUCAUUACGUUGAUUUCGUCCCUUACGAAGAGAUGAGAUUAAUCCCUAUGUGUGCCCUUUACGAGGAGGUGGAACGAAUCAUUACACUGAUUUUGCCAUGAGGAUGCAAGAUUAGUCAAAUAUUGUUGUAGUUCCGCCCCUCACGAGGAGGCGAGUUCUGUAACACUAAAUUAGUUUCGCCCCUUACGAGGAGGUGAGACUAAUCUCUAUAUUGUUUCUGCCUCUUACGAGGAGGCGAGGAAAUAAUCUGACAUUAAUCUUGCUCCCACGAGCAUGCGAGUUUAAUAUACACUUUGUUGCAAGCGCCGCCUAAUAUGCAUUUGUGAUAUUUUUCUUCAUCGACAUCUUGGUCGAGUGUCGACGAGACCAAAGGCUACACAUACAUCACCAUUAUUUCCACCACAUGUCAAUACCGACGAGGCUAGGCAAAACUAUGGCUGAGUGCCGACGAGGCCGGGUCACUGUUCUCUUGACAUGUCUCAAACCUAUAGGGUCGGACACACCGUUGCUAGGCACCGAUGAGGCGAUAGCUACACAUGUCCGCGUCUGAUGAAAUCAGGGCGAUACAUGAUUGGGCACCGAUGAGGCGAAAGUCAUCCCCUUCAUCUAGCUACACAUGCUGUUGAUCGCACCAACAUGUCAAUAGUACAUGUGACUGGGUAUUGGCGAAACAAAGCCACCCGCACAAAUAUUCACAUAAAAUAUCACAUGCGUAUGGAUGAGCAAUCCAGCACACGACGACCACCAUCAGCGCAGCUUAAUCAAAGGUAUCCCGUGGGCUCGAUCCCGCGGAUGUAAUUAACCGGAUGCUUGCAAACGUACCGGGAAUCAUUGAACUACCCAAUCACCUAGUCAGAUACUCCGUGAGGGCGAUGUAGAAGGCAAAAAAGGAUAAAAUUCCUGUGGAAGCACUAUCUUGUAUUUUGGACGAUGCAAUGAUAUUAAUAAAAUGCAGUGUUCCCCCAUGUUCAUUUGUCCAUCUAUUUUUGUCUAUCUUUCAUUUGUCCAUCUAUUUUUGUCUAUCUGUUUAGUGUAUUUUUCUUGUUUUCUGUAAACAAGUGGCAAGCCCGCAUAUAUUUAUUUCUUGUACGCAUUAGGAAAUACCCUCCCUAAAAAGGGAGCGGCGCGUUUCUUUUUGGAAAAACAAAAUGGCACACCUGGUGGGACCUGAUUCUCCUCCCAUCUUUGCUGCACUCCAAUGGUCGUCAAAUUUUCACUGGUGGAAAAAGGGCCUUUGGUCGCGGUUCGCAACUGCCAUUAGUCGCGGUUGCGCAACCGCGACCGAACGGGCGCGACUAAAGGCCCCCCCCCUUUAGUCGCGGUUGCUUAAGAACCGCGACUAAAGGCCCGUCCACGUGGGCGCCAGGUGGCCGUCGGGGCGGAGGACCUUUAGUCGCGGUUCUUCUGGCCAACCGCGACUAAAGGCCGCCGCAGGUUUAGGGUUUUAGCCCCCCCCCUUAAACCUGUUUUCUGUUUAAUUUGUAUUGUUUUAUUUCUUUUGUGCUUUAUUUUAAUUUUGAAGGAGUUUCAUAUAUUCUACGGUACUACAUACAUGCAUAUGAAUGUACAAUUUCAAAUAAAUUUGAAAUUAGAACCAAAAAGAAUUCAAGAGGAAUAUACAAUAUAUAUUCAAUAUCAUCGGAUGACCAUAUACAAUUUUGAACAAGUUUCCAUACAUGAUUUAAUGCAUAUAAAGUUCUACGUCCUCGUAAUAGUGUUCUCCUUUAGGCUGGAGGACUUCCCUGCUGAACCAUCCAGCUAGUUCCUCUUGAAGUGGUCGGAAGCGAGCUUCUGGACUAAGCAUCCACCGGAGGUUAUUCCUCUGAGCAUUGGUAUCACUCGGAACCCGCUCAGAGGUGUAUCUCCGGAUCAUCUCACAGACAUAGUAUCCACAUAGAUUGGUCUCCGGUGGCUGAAUAUCCCCAGCAUUCUUAGCCUUUAACAUUUUGAAUUCUAGCUCUUUUUUGAAUUCACCGACCUUUGUAUCUACGAACCGUCUCCAAACCCUACGAGGCAAAGAAAAUUAAAUGAACAAGAGAGUUAUUAAUUAGUUACUUGAUAUUAGGAAAUGAACGAAAUAGGCCGAUUGAUAUAGAGCGCAAAUGAAUGAAAAUAAUUACUUCUGCAGCAUUCUUCUCAUGCCGCCCCAAAGCUUUGGAUCCAUAUUCACAGAGUCGUGGACGAGACAUUCUGAGGUGUUAACUUUAAUUACUAGCAGAAUCCAGUGGAACCUGCGGACAUGAUACAUGCACAGUACGUCAUGCAUAACUCAUCGAUUAGCCGGCCACAUACCAUGCAUGGAGUAAACAAAAGAGAAUGUGCUCAAGACAGAAACACUCACUCAAAAUGGUAAGGAAAUAGAAUAUCACUUUUGAGUUCCUGCUUUGUAAGAAACUGCCACAGGUCUGCCUCCACGUCGGCGGGGUAACGCUCCAAUACAUGUCCAUUAACGAUGUGUGGGUCAAUGAACCCAACAUCAUGGAUGUUCCUUACUCUGCAUUCCUUAAUCUUCAUUCUGCAUGUAUAAUAGCGGACACAACAAUAUAGUUAGGACAUAUAUAUAGUGCAGGCAAUAUGAACGAGAUGGGGUAGAAAUUAAUAAAUCACUUACAGAACGUAGCAACUGAUGAUAGAUUUAUCGAGCUCGCGCAGAUUGAAAAGCUGGAACAAUUCACUCAGUUCAAUUUGUACAUAGUAAUGUUUGAAGUGAUGCUCAUGUCUAACUUCCGCAUAAAUAUAUUCUUUGGCGUUUUUAUUUUUUAUGUAACCCUUGUACCAUUUCAGCAGACCUUUCAUUUGUGGAGGUAGAUCCUUUUCCUGCGCAGGCUCGACGAGAGGCCCAUUCUUGACAUAUGUAAUUACUACCUCCUUUACUGGCGCCUCAUCAAGGCCUAACAGUUCACGAAGAGUAAUACCUAAGUUGGCCGCUUGUUCUCUGGCACUCGUUACAGUCAAUCCCUGUGCUGCCGCAGCUUGUAUGAUCUCGGGGGCAUCCGGACAGAAGGCUUCCACUAUAAGCGGGGCAAUCGAUUGUUUACUUUGUUCCCCGAGCUGGGCAACUUGUUUCCCGCUUUUUUUACUUUCGGCCUUCUCCCGCUCUUUGUUCUCCUUGAACAUGAGUGCCUGCCUGCGAAGUUCACGUGCAUAGUCGUUAGGCAGAUUCUUCGCGGCUUGGGACGGUGUGCUCAAAAAUGACUUAGCCCACUUCUUUUGCUCAUCAGAAAAUACUGGCUUGGGCUCGGGCUCUCUUUUCUUCUUGCAGUCCGCCUUCCAUUUCUCCAAAUCAGCAGCCGCGGCCGCGUCGACUUCCUGGGCACUACGUUCCCAAGGCCUUGUGGGGAGAGGCUUCAGUGAUGGCUCCGGUACCUUUGUGGUCUUAGGUACAUAAGGGUCCGGGUUAAUAAUCCAGGACUGCUUCUGCUUCUUUGCCGGAGGUGGAUUGGGGGGCGGCGUCUGAUCACCCGCUGGACGAGGACUGGGGGGCGGCGGCUGAUCACCCGCCGGACGUUGUGGACUGGGGGGCGGCGUCGGCUGACGUGACGGAGGUGUAGGUGAACCGCCACCACCACCACCACCACCACCACCGCCACCGCCACCACCACCACCGUAGGGGGGUGGACUUGUUGUCCUUGGCGCCUCGCCUGGAAACUUGAUAAACUUCUUUUGCCAUAGAAUGAAAUGGUGCUUGACAUCUCCAAGUCUUUUCUCCCCUUCAGGUGUAGCAAUGUCAAUCUCCAGGUCCUCAAACCCUUGGACUAUGUCCUCCACCGUGACACGAGCAUAGCCAUCUUGAAUGGGGUUGUUGUGGUGGAGUGCUCCAGGUAAACAUGGUAAAGCACUGCCGAUGGCUACCUUCAUGGACAUGUUCCCGAUAGGAUAAUACAGAUGACAUUCUUUCAUCUCCUUUAUAUCGUCCACGGGGUAGCGAGGAGGCUCCGGUGAAGUAAUUUCGACCACCAGAGGCUCCGGUGCAGUAAUUUGGACCACCAGAGGCUCCGGUGUAGUAAUUUCGAUCGUCGGUGCAUCUGCACCAGCCGGUGGGGCCUCCGUGGAAGCCACGCUGCUUCUCCGCUGUUGGCUUCCGAGAUCCGCUGGAUGAUCUUCAUGCUGCACCCGAGCUGCAUCUCUUUCGGCUACUAGUACACUCAUGGUUUUCUUCAUCACAUCCAUUUCCGAUGCCAACCGCGCCACAACAUCUGCUUCCCGAUCCAUCUUUCUCUUACGGCUUCUGUAACCGUACGGGUCAUCGUUCUGGGGGAACCCUAUUUUCCACGGAAUGUGCCCCAUGCCUCGUACACGUCCUCCGUGUUCAGGAUUCCCGAGGGCUUUUGUCAGCGCGUCGUUCUCUCUGUUGAACUUGAUCUUCCCCUGUUGAGCAUCCCUCAUUGCGUUAAUAAGGGCUUGGGUGGGUUUAAUUAAUUUGCCCCGGUAAACACACUCCCCUGUCUCCGGGUUCAGCGUUCCCCCAUGCCCGUACCACCAGCUUUUGGCCCUUGGGUCCCAUCCCUCCGUACCUGGAUGGAUUCCUCGCGCCCUUAGCUCGUUCUCCAUCUUCUCCCACCUAGGCUCCCAAAGGCGAUACCCUCCUGGCCCCAUAACAUGAUUGUACUCCUUCUUAGCCGCAUUUUCCUUAUUUUUUUUCGAUAUUUGAAUGAACUGCUCCGAUUUCUUUUGCUUCACAAAUUCUGGCCAAUCAUGUUUCAGUUUCUCAUAUUGUCCUUUGAAAUCCGGAGUCUUGUUCUGCUUGACAAAGUCAUGGGCUAGAUUUUGCUUGAAUUUCCGGAAUGCGUCGGCCAUCUUAUGAAGAGCGAACUGUUUGACUAGCCUCCUCCUCUCCUUGUUUUCCUCAAUCUUGUUACCCUCCUCAUCGAAUUUGUUGUAUUCCGGAGGUAGAACGAAAUGUUCCAUAAGCUUCUUGAAGCAAUCUUUUUUUGUUCUCUUAUCGACAAAAGUGAAACCAUCAAUUCGUGCCUUCUUUGGCUCAUUCCACUCCUGGACGGUGAUCGAGACGUUGUCUCUAACAAUGGCUCCGCAUUGGCUGACAAACUUGGUGGCAUUCUUGCGGGGCUCCAGCGGCCUGCCGGUUGCACUGUCGACAACCUCGAUGGUGCAUGUUUCUCCUUGUUUCAUCGUCUUGGUUGCGCCACGCUUUGACGACGUACUCGAUUGUUUCGACGAUCCGGCUGAGGGCUAAAAUAAGAAAGAGUCGCGCGCGUUAGUACACACAUAUUUAUUCAAAUCAGUUAGUUUGUAUCACCAGAGGCUCAAUGUAUAUAUAUACCUCGGCGCCGGAGGUGGUUGCUACUUCCAUUUGAAGAUCGUCGUUUAUCGACGUUUGUUCGGCAUCAUCUUGCUGACAGCGCCCUUCAUCUUCACCGUCAAGGUUCAGAUAAGAAGAGAUAUCAUCUUCUUCUUCUCCGGUCGGCACAUAUAGAAUAUCGCCGUUUAUGAUGCCGAACAUAUGUGCUUCACCGUCCGGAUCAUAGUUGUCCAUAAUCGGGUCAGCUCUAUCGUCCGCCAUUAUGUCAGUCCUGAAAACAUGUAGUAAAAACAAAUUAAUUAAGUGAAGAAGGGGGGCGGUGGUGGUGGCGGUGGCGAAAGGGCGGUGGCGAAAGGAGGGGGCGAGGAAGGGGUGGGAGAGGGUGUCGCGGUAGAGCGCGAGACGGGGCGGCAGACGACGGCGUCACGGAGAGGGGAGGCGAGGACAACACAUUUAUAACCCUCGCCGUCCCCUCUCGAUCCCUAAAAAAACACCGCGCGCAUCGCCGCCCCCCUCGCCGCCCCUCUCCGUAUAAACAAAUUGUCCGAACAGAGCUUGGAGUAGAGUGGCUAGGGUUUGGCCAGGGAUGCAGAUGGAGACGAAUAUAUGUGGGGUCGGGAUGGCCCAUGUGCAGGGCGGGGGGUGCUGGCCACACUCUUUUUUCUUUUCUUUUUCAUUUCAUUUCAUUUUUUCUUUUCCUGUUUUUAUCCUUUUCAUCUUUAAAACAAUUCAGUAUAUCAAAAUAUAGCAAUGAAAAAAGAUAUUUGAGAAAUCAUAAAAUGUAUGUGAAUUCAAAAAAAUGAAUCAUAAAAUGUUCAUGGAUACAAAAACAUUGUGAUUUUGCAAAAAAAAAGGUUUUCAAAAAAUGUUGAUGAUUUUGUGGAAAAAACAGGAAUAAAAACAUAUUGUGUAUUCAAAAAAUGUUUAGGGAUUUCAGAAUAGUUCACGUAUUUAAUUUUUUCACUGAUUCAUGACAUAUUCGUGAAUUUAAAAAUUAUUCGUGUAUUUCAAAAAAUUGAUUUUAUUAGACACAAAAAAAUUCAUCAAAACAAAAAANNNNNNNNNNNNNNNNNNNNNNNNNNNNNNNNNNNNNNNNNNNNNNNNNNNNNNNNNNNNNNNNNNNNNNNNNNNNNNNNNNNNNNNNNNNNNNNNNNNNNNNNNNNNNNNNNNNNNNNNNNNNNNNNNNNNNNNNNNNNNNNNNNNNNNNNNNNNNNNNNNNNNNNNNNNNNNNNNNNNNNNNNNNNNNNNNNNNNNNNNNNNNNNNNNNNNNNNNNNNNNNNNNNNNNNNNNNNNNNNNNNNNNNNNNNNNNNNNNNNNNNNNNNNNNNNNNNNNNNNNNNNNNNNNNNNNNNNNNNNNNNNNNNNNNNNNNNNNNNNNNNNNNNNNNNNNNNNNNNNNNNNNNNNNNNNNNNNNNNNNNNNNNNNNNNNNNNNNNNNNNNNNNNNNNNNNNNNNNNNNNNNNNNNNNNNNNNNNNNNNNNNNNNNNNNNNNNNNNNNNNNNNNNNNNNNNNNNNNNNNNNNNNNNNNNNNNNNNNNNNNNNNNNNNNNNNNNNNNNNNNNNNNNNNNNNNNNNNNNNNNNNNNNNNNNNNNNNNNNNNNNNNNNNNNNNNNNNNNNNNNNNNNNNNNNNNNNNNNNNNNNNNNNNNNNNNNNNNNNNNNNNNNNNNNNNNNNNNNNNNNNNNNNNNNNNNNNNNNNNNNNNNNNNNNNNNNNNNNNNNNNNNNNNNNNNNNNNNNNNNNNNNNNNNNNNNNNNNNNNNNNNNNNNNNNNNNNNNNNNNNNNNNNNNNNNNNNNNNNNNNNNNNNNNNNNNNNNNNNNNNNNNNNNNNNNNNNNNNNNNNNNNNNNNNNNNNNNNNNNNNNNNNNNNNNNNNNNNNNNNNNNNNNNNNNNNNNNNNNNNNNNNNNNNNNNNNNNNNNNNNNNNNNNNNNNNNNNNNNNNNNNNNNNNNNNNNNNNNNNNNNNNNNNNNNNNNNNNNNNNNNNNNNNNNNNNNNNNNNNNNNNNNNNNNNNNNNNNNNNNNNNNNNNNNNNNNNNNNNNNNNNNNNNNNNNNNNNNNNNNNNNNNNNNNNNNNNNNNNNNNNNNNNNNNNNNNNNNNNNNNNNNNNNNNNNNNNNNNNNNNNNNNNNNNNNNNNNNNNNNNNNNNNNNNNNNNNNNNNNNNNNNNNNNNNNNNNNNNNNNNNNNNNNNNNNNNNNNNNNNNNNNNNNNNNNNNNNNNNNNNNNNNNNNNNNNNNNNNNNNNNNNNNNNNNNNNNNNNNNNNNNNNNNNNNNNNNNNNNNNNNNNNNNNNNNNNNNNNNNNNNNNNNNNNNNNNNNNNNNNNNNNNNNNNNNNNNNNNNNNNNNNNNNNNNNNNNNNNNNNNNNNNNNNNNNNNNNNNNNNNNNNNNNNNNNNNNNNNNNNNNNNNNNNNNNNNNNNNNNNNNNNNNNNNNNNNNNNNNNNNNNNNNNNNNNNNNNNNNNNNNNNNNNNNNNNNNNNNNNNNNNNNNNNNNNNNNNNNNNNNNNNNNNNNNNNNNNNNNNNNNNNNNNNNNNNNNNNNNNNNNNNNNNNNNNNNNNNNNNNNNNNNNNNNNNNNNNNNNNNNNNNNNNNNNNNNNNNNNNNNNNNNNNNNNNNNNNNNNNNNNNNNNNNNNNNNNNNNNNNNNNNNNNNNNNNNNNNNNNNNNNNNNNNNNNNNNNNNNNNNNNNNNNNNNNNNNNNNNNNNNNNNNNNNNNNNNNNNNNNNNNNNNNGGCCGCGACUAAAGGUACCCUUUAGUCGCGGUCCGCCUCCCCAACCGGGACUAAAGGGUUUUGGCGCCGCUUCCAUUCCCGCGCAGAAAGACCCUUUAGUCGCAGUUGGGGACAACAACCGUGACUAAAGGGUACCCUUUAGUCACGGUCCGCCUCCCCAACCGGGACUAAAGGUCUGUGCUAGAACUGGCGCGGUGCGGUGGGAUGUUUAGUCCCACCUCGCUAGCCGAGAGGCUUCGACAGUGGUUUAUAAGCGCGGCUGCGCUCACCACUUCGAGCUCCUCUCAAAUGCAGGCUUACGGACCUAUUCUGUCACUAUGUGCCUGUGGGCCUACUCGGCCUUCUGCGGGCCUGAAUCCUGGCCCUUUAAUGGGUUUCUAGUCGUAUUCAGGCCGUGGUGGCCCAGUAGGUGGCAUAUUUUCUUUUUUUCUUCCUUUUUUCCUUUUUCCUUUUUUCUUCUGUUUUUUUCUUCUGUUUUUUUCUUAUGUUUUUCUUCUGUUUGUUUUUUUCUUCUGUUUUUCCUUUUUUCUUCUGUUUUUUUCUUCUGUUUUUUUCUUCCUUUUUCCUUCUUUCUUCUUCUUCCUUUUUCCUUUUAAAAUCAGAAAAAUAAAACUAAUUCAUUUUAAAAUCUUAAAAAUACAAUUAUAUAUCAAAAAAAUCAGAAAAAUAAAACUAAUUCAUUUUAAAACCCCUUGAAGGUUUGACAAAAGGUUUGAUACAUCAUUCAGUUCAUCGACCAAAUACAAAGUUUGGUACAAUAAACUAUUACACAUCAAUUCUUCCCUUGUGUCCCUGCUUGCUUACGAUUGUGCCGUAUCCAUGGAGCAUCCUCAUCAUUUAACUUAAUGCUUGGGUCAAUGUUCACUUUGAAGGGCGGAAUUUCACCAAACAUAUUAUAAUCUUCUGACAUGUCUGUCUUGUCCUCCACUCCCACGAUGUUUCUUUUCCCUGAAAGAACAAUGUGGCGCUUUGGAUCAUCGCAUGAUGUACUGAUCGUUUUCUUAUCUUUCCGUUUCCUCGGUUUGCUACUCAUGUCCUUCAAAUAAAAAACCUGAGCGACAUCUUUGGCAAGGACGAAUGGUUCGUCAAGGUAACCAAGAUUGUUGAAAUCCACCAUUGUCAUUCCGUAUUGCUCGUCCACCUUUACCCCACCUCCUGUUAGCUUGAACCAUUUGCACCGGAACAAAGGGACCUUAAAGGAGGGUCCAUAGUCAAGUUCCCAUAUCUCCUCUAUGUAACCAUAAUAUGUGACCUUUUGCCCAUUCUCGGUUGCUGCAUCAAAGCGGACACCACUGUUUUGGUUGGUGCUCUUUUUAUCUUGGACGAUCGUGUAAAAUGUAUUCCCAUUUAUCUCGUACCCUUGGAAAGUCGUUAUAGUCGAAGAUGGUGUCUUGGACAACAUGUACAGCUGAUCUACAACAUCAUUGUCAUUCAUUAAAUGUUUUCUCAACCAACUGCCGAAAGUCUCCAUGUGGGCCUUCCUAAUCCAGGAUUCAGGCUUCCCCGGGUUGUCCGAGCGUAAAAUAUUCUUGUGUUUCUCAAAGUACGGAGCCACCAAGCUGGAAUUGGUCAGUACAGUGUGGUGUGCUUCAGUCAGAGAAUGGCCGUCCAUACAUAUCGUUGAUUUCCUUCCGAUCGUGCCUUUUCCACUUAGUCUCCCCUCGUGCCGCGAUCGAGGAAGACCAAUCGGCUUAAGGUCAGGAACAAAGUCAACACAAAACUCAAUUACCUCCUCAUUUCCAUAGCCCUUGGCGAUGCUUCCUUCUGGCCUAGCACGGUUACGAACAUAUUUCUUUAAUACUCCCAUGAACCUCUCGAAGGGGAACAUAUUGUGUAGAAAUACAGGACCGAGAACGAAAAUCUCUUCGACUAGGUGAAUCAGGAUCACAUCGUUCUGUAACCGUGGUAGAACUUCUGGAUUGAUUACCUUCUGAGAGAUUGCAUUGAGGAAUGCACAUAGCUUCACAAUGGCUACUCGAACAUUUUCCGGCAGGAGCCCCCUCAAAGCAAUCGGAAGCAAUUGCGUCAUAAUCACGUGGCAGUCGUGAGACUUCAGGUUUUGGAACUUUUUCUCCGCCAUGUUUAUUAUUCCCUUUAUAUUGGACGAGAAUCCAGACGGGACCUUCAUACUGCUCAGGCAUUCAAAAAAGAUGACCUUCUCUUCUUUGGUCAGAGCGUAGCUGGCACGACCUUGAAACCAUUCCGGAUGCCGGUCAUCAGGGUCUUUCAAACGUUGCUGGUCCUGCCGUGCUUCCUUUGUAUCAUUUGUCUUCCCAUACACGCCCAAGAAGCUUAGGAGGUUCACGCAAAUAUUCUUCAUAACGUGCAUCACGUCGAUUGCAGCGCGGACAUCUAGGACUUUCCAAUAUUCUAGCUCCCAGAAUAUAGAUUUCUUCUUCCACAUGGCUGCGUGCCCGUCAGCUCCCUUCGGAACUGAUUGUCCGCCAGGACCCUUUCCAAAGAUGACUUUCAAAUCCUUGACCAUAUCAAAUACCUCAGCACCAGUGCGUUUCGCAGGCUUCGGUCGGUGAUCUGCCUUGCCGUUGUAAUGCUUGCCUUUCUUUCUUACUGGAUGAAUUUUCGGAAGAAAUCGACGAUGCCCAAGGUACACGUUCUUCUUACAAUUUGGCAAAUGUACACUUUCAGUCUCAUGUAAGCAGUGCGUGCAUGCAUUGUAUCCCUUAUUUGACAGUCCCGAAAGGUUACUAAGAGCAGGCCAAUCGUUGAUGGUUACGAAAAGCAACGCUCGUAGGUCAAAUUCCUCUUGUUUGUGCUCAUCCCACACAAGGACACCACCCCACAGCUGUAAAAGUUCAUCAACUAAUGGCCUUAGGUACACAUCGAUGUCGUUGCUGGGUUGCUUCGGACCUUGGAUGAGCACUGACAUCAUAAUGAACUUCCGCUUCAUGCACAACCAAGGAGGAAGGUUGUAGAUGCAUAGAGUCACGGGCCAGGUGCUAUGGCUGGAGCUCUGCUCGCCAAAAGGAUUCAUGCCAUCCGUACUUAGAGCAAAUCUUAUGUUCCUUGCGUCAGCUGCAAAAUCUUUGAACCAUCUGUCGAUCUUUCUCCAUUGCGUUCCAUCUGCGGUGUGUCUCAACUCCCCGUCCGACUUACGGUCCUCUUUGUGCCAUCGCAACAACUUGGCAUGCUCUUUGUUCCUGAACAGACGUUUCAACCGUGGUAUUAUAGGAGCAUACCACAUCACCUUGGCGGGAACCCUCUUCCUGGGUUUCUGGCCCUCAACAUCGUCACCAGGGUCAUCGCCUCUGAUCUUAUAACGCAAUGCAGUGCAUACCGGGCAUUCAUUCAAAUUCUCGUAUUCACCGCGGUAGAGGAUGCANNNNNNNNNNUCCGCCUCCCCAACCGGGACUAAAGGGUUUUGGCGCUGCUUCCGUUCCCGCGCAGAAAGACCCUUUAGUCGCGGUUGGAGAGGCGGACCGCGACUAAAGGUACCCUUUAGUCGCGGUCCGCCUCCCCAACCGCGACUAAAGGUCUGUGCUAGAACUGGCGCGGUGCGGUGGGAUGUUUAGUCCCACCUCGCUAGCCGAGAGGCUUCGACAGUGGUUUAUAAGCGCGGCUGCGCUCACCACUUCGAGCUCCUCUCAAAUGCAGGCUUACGGGCCUAUUCUGUCACUAUGUGCCUGUGGGCCUACUCGGCCUUCUGCGGGCCUGAAUCCUGGCCCUUUAAUGGGUUUCUAGUCGUAUUCAGGCCGUGGUGGCCCAGUAGGUGGCAUAUUUUCUUUUUUUCUUCCUUUCUUCCUUUUUCCUUUUUUCUUCUGUUUUUUUCUUCUGUUUUUUUCUUAUGUUUUUCUUCUGUUUGUUUUUUUCUUCUGUUUUUCCUUUUUUCUUCUGUUUUUUUCUUCUGUUUUUUUCUUCCUUUUUCCUUCUUUCUUCUUCUUCCCUUUUCCUUUUAAAAUCAGAAAAAUAAAACUAAUUCAUUUUAAAAUCUUAAAAAUACAAUUAUAUAUCAAAAAAAUCAGAAAAAUAAAACUAAUUCAUUUUAAAACCCCUUGAAGGUUUGACAAAAGGUUUGAUACAUCAUUCAGUUCAUCGACCAAAUACAAAGUUUGGUACAAUAAAUUAUUACACAUCAAUUCUUCCCUUGUGUCCCUGCUUGCUUACGAUUGUGCCGUAUCCAUCGAGCAUCCUCAUCAUUUAACUUAAUGCUUGGGUCAAUGUUCACUUUGAAGGGCGGAAUUUCACCAAACAUAUUAUAAUCUUAUGACAUGUCUGUCUUGUCCUCCACUCCCACGAUGUUUCUUUUCCCUGAAAGAACAAUGUGGCGCUUUGGAUCAUCGCAUGAUGUACUGAUCGUUUUCUUAUCUUUCCGUUUCCUCGGUUUGCUACUCAUGUCCUUCAAAUAAAAAACCUGAGCGACAUCUUUGGCAAGGACGAAUGGUUCGUCAAGGUAACCAAGAUUGUUGAAAUCCAGCAUUGUCAUUCCGUAUUGCUCGUCCACCUUUACCCCACCUCCUGUUAGCUUGAACCAUUUGCACCGGAACAAAGGGACCUUAAAGGAGGGUCCAUAGUCAAGUUCCCAUAUCUCCUCUAUGUAACCAUAAUAUGUGACCUUUUGCACAUUCUCGGUUGCUGCAUCAAAGCGGACACCACUGUUUUGGUUGGUGCUCUUUUUAUCUUGGACGAUCGUGUAAAAUGUAUUCCCAUUUAUCUCGUACCCUUGGAAAGUCGUUAUAGUCGAAGAUGGUGUCUUGGCCAACAUGUACAGCUGAUCUACAACAUCAUUGUCAUUCAUUAAAUGUUUUCUCAACCAACUGCCGAAAGUCUCCAUGUGGGCCUUCCUAAUCCAGGAUUCAGGCUUCCCCGGGUUGUCCGAGCGUAAAAUAUUCUUGUGUUUCUCAAAGUACGGAGCCACCAAGCUGGAAUUGGUCAGUACAGUGUGGUGUGCUUCAGUCAGAGAAUGGCCGUCCAUACAUAUCGUUGAUUUCCUUCUGAUCGUGCCUUUUCCACUUAGUCUCCCCUCGUGCCGCGAUCGAGGAAGACCAAUCGGCUUAAGGUCAGGAACAAAGUCAACACAAAACUCAAUUACCUCCUCAUUUCCAUAGCCCUUGGCGAUGCUUCCUUCUGGCCUAGCACGGUUACGAACAUAUUUCUUUAAUACUCCCAUGAACCUCUCAAAGGGGAACAUAUUGUGUAGAAAUACAGGACCGAGAACGAAAAUCUCUUCGACUAGGUGAACCAGGAGGUGCGUCAUAAUAUUGAAGAAGGAUGGCGGGAACACCAACUCGAAACUGACAAGACAUUGGAUCACAUCGUUCUGUAACCGUGGUAGAACUUCUGGAUUGAUUACCUUCUGAGAGAUUGCAUUGAGGAAUGCACAUAGCUUCACAAUGGCUACUCGAACAUUUUCCGGCAGGAGCCCCCUCAAAGCAAUCGGAAGCAAUUGCGUCAUAAUCACGUGGCAGUCGUGAGACUUCAGGUUUUGGAACUUUUUCUCCGCCAUGUUUAUUAUUCCCUUUAUAUUGGACGAGAAUCCAGACGGGACCUUCAUACUGCUCAGGCAUUCAAAAAAGAUGACCUUCUCUUCUUUGGUCAGAGCGUAGCUGGCACGACCUUGAAACCAUUCCGUAUGCCGGUCAUCAGGGUCUUUCAAACGUUGCUGGUCCUGCCGUGCUUCCUUUGUAUCAUUUGUCUUCCCAUACACGCCCAAGAAGCUUAGGAGGUUCACGCAAAUAUUCUUCGUAACGUGCAUCACGUCGAUUGCAGAGCGGAUAUCUAGGACUUUCCAAUAUUCUAGCUCCCAGAAUAUAGAUUUCUUCUUCCACAUGGCUGCGUGCCCGUCAGCUCCCUUCGGAACUGAUUGUCCGCCAGGACCCUUUCCAAAGAUGACUUUCAAAUCCUUGACCAUAUCAAAUACCUCAGCACCAGUGCGUUCCGCAGGCUUCGGCCGGUGAUCUGCCUUGCCGUUGUAAUGCUUGCCUUUCUUUCUUACUGGAUGAAUUUUCGGAAGAAAUCGACGAUGCCCAAGGUACACGUUCUUCUUACAAUUUGGCAAAUGUACACUUUCAGUCUCAUGUAAGCAGUGCGUGCAUGCAUUGUAUCCCUUAUUUGACAGUCCCGAAAGGUUACUAAGAGCAGGCCAAUCGUUGAUGGUUACGAAAAGCAACGCUCGUAGGUCAAAUUCCUCUUGUUUGUGCUCAUCCCACACACGGACACCACCCCACAGCUGUAAAAGUUCAUCAACUAAUGGCCUUAGGUACACAUCGAUGUCGUUGCUGGGUUGCUUCGGACCUUGGAUGAGCACUGGCAUCAUAAUGAACUUCCGCUUCAUGCACAACCAAGGAGGAAGGUUGUAGAUGCAUAGAGUCACGGGCCAGGUGCUAUGGCUGGAGCUCUGCUCGCCAAAAGGAUUCAUGCCAUCCGUACUUAGAGCAAAUCUUAUGUUCCUUGCGUCAGCUACAAAAUCUUUGAACCAUCUGUCGAUCUUUCUCCAUUGCGUUCCAUCUGCGGUGUGUCUCAACUCCCCGUCCGACUUACGGUCCUCUUUGUGCCAUCACAACAACUUGGCAUGCUCUUUGUUCCUGAACAGACGUUUCAACCGUGGUAUUAUAGGAGCAUACCACAUCACCUUGGCGGGAACCCUCUUCCUGGGUUUCUGGCCCUCAACAUCGUCACCAGGGUCAUCGCCUCUGAUCUUAUAACGCAAUGCAGUGCAUACCGGGCAUUCAUUCAAAUUCUCGUAUUCACCGCGGUAGAGGAUGCAGUCGUUGAUGCAUGCAUGUAUCUUCAGAACCUCUAAACCUAGAGGGCAGACAACCUUCUUUGCUUCGUACGUACUUGCGGGCAACUCGUUAUCCUUUGGAAACAUAUUCUUCAACAUUUUCAGCAAGUUUUCAAAUGCCGAGUCAGCUACACCUGCCUCUGCCUUCCAUUUCAGCAAAUCCAGUGUGCAGCCCAGCUUUUUCAGACCAUCAUCGCAUCCGGGGUACAGCGCCUUUCUGUGAUCCUCUAACAUGCGAUCCAAAUUCUCCCUCUCCUUUUCAGUUUCGCAGCGUCUCCGUGCAUCAGCAAUGGUCCGACCAAGAUCAUCAACGGGAUCAUCACGUGCCUCUUCUUCACCUUCCCCUUCACCUUCAGCAUCCUCCAUGAAAGUAUCACCGAAAUGAGCAAGAUAGCUUUCAUCGAUGAAAUCAUCCCCUUCUUCAUCUUCUUCCAUUAUAACCCCUCUUUCUCCAUGCUUGGUCCAACAAUUAUAGCUUGGCAUGAAACCGUGCCGAAGCAGAUGCAUGUGAACAUCUCUUGAGGAAGAGUAACCCUUCUGAUUCUUACAGAUAACACAUGGACAGAUAACAAAACCCCCCUGCUUGUUCGCAUUAGCCACUACGAGGAAAUAUUUCAAACCCGUAGUGAACUCGCCGGAGAGUCGGUUACCGUACAUCCAUUGCCGAUUCAUCUGCAUUAUUAUAAUAUAAAAUAUAUAAUUAACCAUCAUGCAUUUGUUAAACUAACUAGCUACAAAUAAUAUAAAUUAAACAAUAAACUGCACACAUGCAUAUUUUAUCAAUGACACACAUGCAUGAAAGGUUCAAGUUGCUAACCGCGAUCGAGGAGGAAAAAAUAAAUGAGGAACCUCAAGUGUGGCUCCAACACUUCAUAUCAUGUUUGUUUCACCCUCUUAGGGCAUUUCAUCAAACACCUUGUGUGCAUAAGAGGAACCAAAAGCAAACCUACACCCCCUUGUGAAGCUUGUGAAGAGAAGUGGCACCAAAUGGCUAAGUGAGCGUGCUGAACUGGUAUAUAUAGGGGAGGAGCUUUAGUCGCGGUUGGCCUGGCCAACCGCGACUAAAGGCCUUUGCGCACCUUUAGUCGCGGUUGGCCUGGCCAACCGCGACUAAAGCCCCUCACGUGCACCAGCUGGCCACCGAGCGCCCUGGGCCCAGGCCUUUGGUCGCGGUUCGUCUGCCGAACCGCGACUAAAGACUUCAUUAGUCGCGGUUCCUACAGUUUCGCGACUAAUGGGGCUGGACGGAAGCCUCUUUUUCUACCAGUGUUUCCAAUUAUUUGUUUGCUUGUCCAAAUCACCACAAGAGUAUGUUGUAAAAAAAUAGCACGCAUCUAGUGCGUGAAAAUAUAUAUGCACAUGUACAUCCGUGCGUUCAAGCUGAAAAUGCACGGAGCACACAUGGUGCCUCUGUUCCAAAUUAUUUUGCACAGGAAGAUUGUCCCUGUUUAAAAAGAAAUAGGCAGCACUGGUUGAGGUUGUGUAUCAACCAGAGUAGUGGACCACAUGUACUGAUUGGAUAAUCUAUAUAGACCAUCGUAAUCCUCAUCAAUCACUGUCAAAGAUCAUAUCAUCAUCUAGGCAAUUUUGUUAAAUAUACAACAUUGUUUGCAGCAGUAUAUUAGGAGAAGCAGAACUUCGUCAUCCUUGAUGUAUCAUCAAUCACUGUCAAAGAUAUCGUCAUCUCAGCAAAAAAAUUAAAUAUACAACAUUGUUUCCUGCAGUAUAUUAGGAAAAGCAGAACUUCGUAAUCCUUGAUGUAUCAUCAAUCACUGUCAAAGAUCAUAUCAUCAUCUAGGCAAUUUUGUUAAAUAUAGAACAUUGUUUGCUGCAGUAUAUUAGCAGAAGCAGAACUUAUUGCAAGGAACAUGUUGAUAGCACCAUAUCAAAUUGUAUUCAGUUUGCUGCAUACCAUAGUGAUGUGGAUACUUAUGAAAUAUGUGUAGCUAGAAAUUAGAAACUCUGUGAACCUAAACUGUUGUGGCACAAGUGACUAUUAUAUGGAUGGUUCUGGUUUUAUUAAGAUAGGAAGAUGGAAUAUGUUUUCUUCCAAACAUACAUGAACACCAUGGCCAUGAUAGAAACAGAACAUUCAUGCUGUAGAAACGGCAAUAGAAAUCCCACCUCCAAUAGGAAAAUUAACUCUGAAAUUACUACUUGAAAUGAGCCAUGGGUGGCAGCUGUAGGAUUCCAACUUACAGGUAGCCUCAUGAUAUUUACCUGUGGUUGGGAAAAGGCCUACUGGUACCAAAAAUAUUAUUCAACAUGCAAAGAAAACAGCUAGGUACACUAAACUAUGAAUGGAGAUAACACAUUAAAUUGUUCAUACCCCCAAAAACCAUUAACUCGCAGGUCAUGGUGGGUCUUUCCUACUUCACCUGAACCCUGUCACGAGUUAUCCUCUCAACCUGCUAGAAAUACCACAACCUCUUUCAAGUUUCAUCAAUCCUACACAAUCCACCAUAAAGAUGUUCAUUAUAAGAAAUACAGCCUAUAUUUAUAAUAGAGAAUACU